UAGUAGCGGCGAGCGAAACGGGAAGAGCCCAAACCAACAAGCUUGCUUGUUGGGGUUGUAGGACACUCUAUACGGAGUUACAAAGGACGACAUUAGACGAAUCAUCUGGAAAGAUGAAUCAAAGAAGGUAAUAAUCCUGUAGUCGAAAAUGUUGUCUCUCUUGAGUGGAUCCUGAGUACGACGGAGCACGUGAAAUUCCGUCGGAAUCUGGGAGGACCAUCUCCUAAGGCUAAAUACUCUCUAGUGACCGAUAGUGAACCAGUACCGUGAGGGAAAGGUGAAAAGCACCCCGGAAGGGGAGUGAAAUAGAACCUGAAACCGUGUGCUUACAAGUAGUCAGAGCCCGUUAAUGGGUGAUGGCGUGCCUUUUGUAGAAUGAACCGGCGAGUUACGAUUUGAUGCAAGGUUAAGCAGUAAAUGUGGAGCCGUAGCGAAAGCGAGUCUGAAUAGGGCGUUUAGUAUUUGGUCGUAGACCCGAAACCAGGUGAUCUACCCUUGGUCAGGUUGAAGUUCAGGUAACACUGAAUGGAGGACCGAACCGACUUACGUUGAAAAGUGAGCGGAUGAACUGAGGGUAGCGGAGAAAUUCCAAUCGAACCUGGAGAUAGCUGGUUCUCUCCGAAAUAGCUUUAGGGCUAGCCUCAAGUGAUGAUUAUUGGAGGUAGAGCACUGUUUGGACGAGGGGCCCCUCUCGGGUUACCGAAUUCAGACAAACUCCGAAUGCCAAUUAAUUUAACUUGGGAGUCAGAACAUGGGUGAUAAGGUCCGUGUUCGAAAGGGAAACAGCCCAGACCACCAGCUAAGGUCCCAAAAUAUAUGUUAAGUGGAAAAGGAUGUGGCGUUGCCCAGACAACUAGGAUGUUGGCUUAGAAGCAGCCAUCAUUUAAAGAGUGCGUAAUAGCUCACUAGUCGAGUGACACUGCGCCGAAAAUGUACCGGGGCUAAACAUAUUACCGAAGCUGUGGAUUGUCCUUUGGACAAUG
rnacentral:rRNA from 1 species